rnacentral:rRNA from 1 species
UUGGAGGGCAAGUCUGGUGCCAGCAGCCGCGGUAAUUCCAGCUCCAAUAGCGUAUAUUAAAGUUAUUGCAGUUAAAAAGCUCGUAGUUGAAUUUCGGGAUCAAUGUUUCGGUCAUGCCGUUGGUAUGUACUGAUAUUAUUGGUUUCUCACCUUCUAAAGAACCGUAAUGCCAUUAAUUUGGUGUCACGGGGAAUUAGGACUGUUACCUUGAAAAAAUUAGAGUGUUUAAAGCAGGCUCACGCUUGAAUACAUUAGCAUGGAAUAAUGAAAUAGGACAUCCGAUUCUAUUUUGUUGGUUUCUAGGAUCGAUGUAAUGAUUAAUAGGGAUAGUUGGGGGCAUUAGUAUUCAAUUGUCAGAGGUGGAAUUCUUGGAUUUAUUGAAGACUAACUACUGCGAAAGCAUUUGCCAAGGAUGUUUUCAUUAAUCAAGAACGAAAGUUAGGGGAUCGAAGACGAUCAGAUACCGUCGUAGUCUUAACCAUAAACUAUGCCGACUAGGGAUCGGAUGAUGUUAAUUUUUUAAUGACUCAUUCGGCGCCUUACGGGAAAC